rnacentral:rRNA from 1 species
GACGAACGCUGGCGGCGUGCUUAACACAUGCAAGUCGAACGGAAAGGCCCUGCUUUUGUGGGGUGCUCGAGUGGCGAACGGGUGAGUAACACGUGAGUAACCUGCCCUUGACUUUGGGAUAACUUCAGGAAACUGGGGCUAAUACCGGAUAGGAGCUCCUGCUGCAUGGUGGGGGUUGGAAAGUUUCGGCGGUUGGGGAUGGACUCGCGGCUUAUCAGCUUGUUGGUGGGGUAGUGGCUUACCAAGGCUUUGACGGGUAGCCGGCCUGAGAGGGUGACCGGCCACAUUGGGACUGAGAUACGGCCCAGACUCCUACGGGAGGCAGCAGUGGGGAAUAUUGCACAAUGGGCGGAAGCCUGAUGCAGCAACGCCGCGUGGGGGAUGACGGCCUUCGGGUUGUAAACUCCUGUCGCAAUCGACGAAGCCUUUUGGUGACGGUAGGUUGAGAAGAAGCACCGGCUAACUACGUG